rnacentral:lncRNA from 10 species
GCUGGGUCUUCCAGGAGCGCGCCUGCGCGGGAGGGUGACCACAGGCGGCCGGGCGGGAUGUCCUGUCCGCAGUCUUCAGCCCAGCCGCCGCCACCCAUAAGCUAUGAGGAGGAGUUUACGACCACCUGGACUACUACCACCUGCGUGACUUCCCGGCCUGCGGGGUCCGCGCAGCAAAGGCUUGACGCUGCUGGAGCAGGCGCUGCGCACCUACUGGCUGGCGCCUGGUAGGCACGAGCGCAGGGUCGCCCAGAAGCUCCUCAAUGGCCUGAGCAAGUACCAGCCAGCGCCAGCUGCAGCCCUGGCCGCGCACUCGCCUCAGCUGAGCCUGGGUAGUAGCUGUAUCAAUUAAAGUAACACGGAACCAGGUGCAAUGGCUCAGAGACAGGGUGCAGAAGCUAAGGCAGGAGGAUUGCUUGAGCCCAGGAGUUCAAGGUUGC